rnacentral:lncRNA from 1 species
GUCAUAGAAGGAAGAAGCGGGAAACACUGUUCCUUCCCCUCAGGCUACCUGGCCCUGGAUGUUGGCUUUACAAUGAAGGACAGAGAAUCUGGGAAAGGCAGUGGUCAGCUCUGUCCUGCAGGAACGCCACAUGCAUUCUGUCAGAACAAAGGGCUACCCUGAGCUUUUAUCUUUAACAUCUGAUUUACAACAGACAUUUUCAUUGGGGAUUUACAAAUUAGAGAUUCUCAACCUACAAUAUCAAGAUGUCAUUAGCCAGUGAUGAGUAAAAUCCUGCCUGGGGAAGUGCUUCACUGGGGUGGACUCCAAAGGUGGAUUAGACUGAAGAAUGCUCCGGAAUUGGGAAAGCACAUAGUGUCCAUGAAAGUAUUUCUAGAGAAGAUUGACAUGCGAGUCAGCGAGUUAACUCCCCACCCCCGACCAUGAGAUAGGCUGGCUUUGAACUUCCUAUCAUCCUGCCUUGGGCUUCUAUGUACUGAGAUUACAGGGUAAUUCCUGUGAGUAAACUCAGAUCACCUGGACUGUGUCGCAAGGACCGUUAUCCAUCUGCCAUCUCACUGGCUGCAGAAACCUAUGUUGGAUGCUCAUUAAUUCAAGACAAAGGGAUGAGGGAGACUCUCAGGUUUAUAAGUUACUGGACACUGCCGUAGUCAUCCUACCUUGGGGCUUAAGUAUAUUAGUAUUUGUUCAUCUACUUCUAAACACCACAGUAACCUCAUGUGAUUAAGCCUGCUUAAUUUUUUGAGAUAUCACAUCUUGCAUGUGGAUGACAGCAUCUUCUGGACAGUAUUAGUUGUGUAUAAAAAUACUGUCUAUUGAACACUGGUCUAAACAUUUUACAUAAGAAACAUAUUUGACCCUCACAACAACUUUAUGAUGUUAGAGCUAUUACUAAAACCCACUUUACAGGGCAAGAGGGGGAGACCAAGAGUUAUUAAAUAAAUGCCACACAACUACGGAGGUGGAACCAAAAUUUACAGCCUCUCAGUGACUUCAGACACCAUGUUUUGUAGUAAGGUAUUCUACUGACCCUUCACCCAAACAGGUGCCUGGGUCAAGUUGGGAGGUGGCUCAGAAAUAGGGGCCUUGGUCAUAGUUAACUUAGGAGUUUUUCUAGAAGUAGUCAAGUCAAGGAUUUUUAAAAAAUAAUAUCAAAUAAACUAAAGACUGCUACUCUGUUUGUUAGGGUCCUUGGAUUCCAAUUUUCCCGAAGUAGCUUCAAAUUGCAUCAGUAGGAGGGAAAACAAGAGGAAAGGAGAUUGACUGUGACUGAAGCCCAGGUCAUCACCUCAAUCUAUACACAGUGUUUUAUUAGGUUGCUGGGAAGUCAAUUCUGAGUCCCUGGCUCAUGGACAGCAGUGGCCAGUGAUCUCCGCAUGAACUCAAGCAUCUAUCAUGUUUCUAUGGAACUCUGGAUUCCUGGGCCACACUCUAUUUUACUGAGUCAAAAAGGGAAAGAUCAGAGCAAAUGGCAGACUGUCUUCUAUUUAUUACAUGACUGUGUCCUUGGCCCUGGAAAGAAAAUUGUCAGCAGUGCCACACUAAGAAUGCUAAGGCAAAGAGAAGACUCUCAAAUACAAGAGGCAUAGACAACAUCCUCAGAAACGGAUCGAGGGAAACAUGCAAGGAAUGUUAGUGAUUGUUCCAAGGAGCAAUCAUGGAAUUGUGAUGGGCCCAACAGAAGUAUGGCAGUAUUGCUGUAUUGCUCUUCCAAACCACCUACUUAGACAAUGGACUACCCAACCGACAUUGUAGCUUGGUAUGACUGCAUGAUUAAAUUGUUCCCAGUGAAAGGUGAGCAAAUUGACAUAGGUAACUUUCCCCUUAUUUAAUUGAAGGGAAUUGUUUCUUUGGGUCUCCCCUUUACUGUACAAUGGAAUGCAGCAUGCUAGUGAGACAGCUGAGCCAUUUGGAAGUGGUACAGGGGCUCAGCCAGCUGAGCCAUCUAGAAGUGGUACAGAGGCUUAGAGGAGCAGAGCAAGUUGUAGAGAACAAGGACCCUGAGGAAUCACAUCCCAAACCAAAAUGGUCACCUUUGGACUAUUAUAGAAGAA